rnacentral:tRNA from 1 species
CAGAAAGUAGUUUAAUUAAAAUAUUAAUUUUGGAUAUUAAAGAAAAACCAUAAUUUCCUUUCUGA